CCUGCCUGCGUCGCGAGCAGCUUCCCUUUUCCCUGGGGCAGCUUGGGUCUUCAUGGAGCUGCAGCCGCCAAGCGGAAAUGCGCUCCGACGGGGCGUUUCAGUCUGGUGCUGCCGACGCGAGCAGCGGGAAUGAAGUGGCUUCUCUCUCUCUCUCCUCCGGGGCGGAGGAGCCGAGCGGGGGGAGCUUCUCGGGCAGGAGGGCUGGGAGGGAGCGUUGCCUGCUGAGGAGGCGAGAAACCGAGGGGAGAGAGCGAGCGAGCUUCUGAGGGCUCCCGCGGCAAUUUUGCACAAGAGUAAGUCCCCUUCGGUUUCAUGGGCUUGGAUUUGCUGCCAGAGUACUGUCAAGGCCGGAGGCAAAUAACGGGGUCGGGGGUGGGUGGGGAGGAAGGAAGGGGGGCGUGGGGUUUCCCAAAUCUCCCACUACAAUCCUAACCAUGUUUACUCCGAUGACUGCCGGGCAGGUGGGGUGAAGUCACCUUGCAGUUGUAACCAUCCUCAGUCAGAAGCCACCCCCAUUCAGUUUGUAAUGUGGCCUGCAAUUGCAGCCUUGUAAAAAUGAUAAUCUCACCACUUUAAGGGGAAACUUUAUUUUAUAGCAACCAAUUUUUUUUUUUAAAGUGUUUGACGUUUCAUUAUGCUUUUAUGUGUUGGAAACCACCUGGAGUUGCUGGGGCAACCCAGCCAGAUGGGUGGGGGUAUAAAUAAUAAAAUUAUUUGAUUGGAGGACAGUUACUAGACAAUUAUUUGAUUGGAGGACAGUUUGACUUUUUAAUGUAAAUGGCACAAUCCUUCACACAUCUACUCCGAAGUGAGUCCCUCUGUGUCUUAAUGGGGCUUAUUCCUGAAUAACUGAGCAUAGAAUCACAGCCUUGAACAACUGAAUUCAUUCUCCCCCUCCCUUUUAUUGAUGCAUCAAUAAAUAAUAUAGCAUUUAAAAUAGGUCUGUUAAAACUUCAGUGUGUCAUCAUGGGACUCUUCUGCUACUUUCCAGAAUCGCGUUGCCAACAGAUUACAUAAAUGCUGCUUAAAACAGGUUCUAAACCCAUGUGAUAUGGAUAAUAGCUGUUGUCACAACUGUAAGAACUUGAUGGUUAGGCAACACAGUGCAUGGCAGCCAUAAAAAAAAUAAUAUUGGAAGCUUUGGGCUUUGUUGGACAAUAGUUACUGCUUGAAGUUGAGAUGUGUCUCAACAGGUUUGCUCAAAAAUAACUUUCAUCAUUCAGCAGAGCUUGCUCUCAAGUAAAUGUGCAUAGGAUUGUAGCCUUAAUUUUUUAAUCUUUCCUUUUUAUCACACCUUUCCUAGAAAGAGCUCAAGGCGUCAUACGUGCCCCUCUCCACCACAUUCCAAAUUAAGUCACAUAUCCGAGCAAAGUGAGCUCCAUUUUCCAAAAGCUGAAGCUACCACAUUUGUUACUAAACCUAUGCAAUUUCAGCCACUAUUGAAUGCUUAACAACAUGGGUGUGUGUGUGUGUGUCAAGUCUUUGGUCCUCCAGAUGCAGCUGGAAAUUGGGUAAGGCCAAACUAAUCAUAUUAACUGGAGAGAACUGGCUGGGGUUCCCCCACCCCAUCCAGGAAAGCACUGUCUGUUCUUGACGAGCAGUUAGUUGCAAGCAAUGUAAGCCAUGUUAUCUGCCAUUUCUUUCUGUGAAAUAUAAUAUAGCUUUCAGUGCAUCUUUUUGACAGUUGGUUUAAUCUAGCUGUGUGGAGGACCAGUCUUGUAUAUUUGUGCUGAAAGAUGGAUUUGUUUCCACACAGAUCAAGGAUGUGGUUCCUCAUAAGAGGGGCAGGUUUGGUCCAAGCCCUUGUUACUUCAAAAACACUUCCAAGAAGAAAAUACCUGGAUCCAGAAGCUGCUAUGAAUAUUGUAAGCUAUUUAUCUUUUUGUGUUGUAUUUGCUUUAGUUAAGGCAUAUUUGGCAACAAGUGCUGGAUUCUACAACUAUUCACUCUACCUAUGCUAUCAUCUAUCUAUCUGGCUAUCUCUCUAUCUAUCUCUCUAUCAUCCGUCUAUCUAUCUAUCUAAUUUCAAAAUACUAUUCCUGCCAUCCAAAUACAAAUGCUCAAGACAGCUUACAACAUGUUUUCUUCUUUUCCCCCCUAAGCAAGUCCGAAAGAGUUACCAAUCUGUGCUCUAGUACGGUAUAUUGCAAUUAUUCAACAAAAGGCAGAAAAGUAAUUUUGUAGCCCACCGAGACCCUGAGCGAUAUUCAGGUGUUCAAGGGUUGGGAACCACUGCCAGCACAACAACACAACAGCAGAAAUAGGCUGGGCUACAACAGAAGGCUCAUAGUUCCAGCAGGGGGAGACAGGUGCCAGGAAAGUUCUCUGCCCUUGAAUAUCACACUUCCCUGAAAAGCCAGAGCAAACUGCGUAGCUCUUGCUCUUGCUGUUCUGGCUUCAGUGAUAGCUGCACAGCGCCUCUUCAGCGAAGCGGGAGGAGGAACGGAAGGGGCUCCGUAAGGGCUCCCUUCCAUUCCUCCUCCUGCUUUAUUGGGAAGCCAGCAGAACAAGAGGUGCUGCACAGCUCUUGCUCUGCUGGCUUCAGCAAUAGCUGCGCAGCCUGCAUUCACUCCAUAAGAUGCACACACAUUUCCCCUUACUUUUUAGGAGGAAAAAAAAUGCGUCUUAUGGAGCAAAAAAUACGGUAUAUUUUUCUCACAGUCCAGCUGGGACAUCAGUCCAGACCAUGCUUCACUGGGCUCAGGUAGCACCUAAAUCCUCAGUUAUGUUAAAAUAAGUUUUGUGUAUAGAUUUCAGCUUUAAAUGGCUAAUCAUAUUCAUGAGAACAGGCUGAUAAAGAGGUGCAGGACUUCUUUGACCACAUAUGGCACAUGUCGUGGACUUGUGACAGUGAAGGAUAUGGAUCUGUAUUUCCUCUGCCCAUGAGAAUUUGAGUGUUUUUGUAGAGAGGUAUUGGAAACUGGCUUGUUUCUUUGAGCCAUCUGGAGUUGUCUCUUCCUAAAUGCGGCUUGCCAUGAACCUCUUCUCUGUUUAGGAUCAAUUGUGGUACUGUAGGAUGAUCCUUACGGCUCUGGUGGCUGCAGUAGGGUUUGAAGGAGUUGGUCUUUUCUGACUCCGAUUUUGUGACUUGGGCUGCAAUCCUAGACAUGCUUCUCUGGGAGUAAGUCCCAUUGAACCGUUUGGAAUAGGCACAGAGAGAUUUGUGCUGGUGGGGCUCUGUUUGCUCCACCACUUUCCCCUAGGGAAACCUGAUCUUUAGAGCUGAAUCGGAACAAAUGGCAAUCAGGUGUUCUGCAGAUUGUCAUUUGUUGUGAUUAUUAUUAAUAAUAAUAAUUUAUUAUUUAUACCCCGCCCAUCUGGCUGGGCUUCCCCAGCCACUCUGGGCGGCUUCCAAAACAAUAUUAAAAUACUAUAAUACAUCAAACAUUAAAAGCUUCCCUAAACAGGGCUGCCUUCAGAUGUCUUCUAAAAGUCUGGUAGUUGUUGUUCUCUUUGACAUCUGGUGGGAGGGCGUUCCACAGGGAAGGUGCCACUACCGAGAAGGCCCUCUGCCUGGUUCCCUGUAACUUGGCUUCUCUCAAUGAGGGAACUGCCAAAAGGCCCUCGGUGCUGGACCUCAGUGUCUGGGUAGAACGAUGGGGGUGGAGACACUCCUUCAGAUAUACUGGACCAAGGCCGUUUAGGGCUUUAAAGGUCAGCACUGACACUUUGAAUUGUGCUCGGAAACGUACUGGGAGCCAAUGUAGGUCUUUCAAGACCAGUGUUAUGUGGUCUCUGUGGCCGCUCCCAGUCACCAGUCUAGCUGCCGCGUUCUGGAUUAGUUGUAGUUUCUGGGUCACCUUCAAAGGUAGCCCCACAUUUAUAGCUAAAGAGCAGGUUUUCCGGGGGGGGGGGGCAGUGAGGCAAAGGCAAAACCACUCAGACCUGUACCUAGAAAGUGCAGGAUAAACAGAAAACUUCUUUUCUGUGUACGGGACAAGAGGAAGUGUGGACAAGCCCUUAGACUACAGUCCUAAAUACACUUUGAAAUGGCUCUGUUUAAGAUUUUUAUUCCUGUAUGUCAGGAUUGGGUAACCUAUUUAGCUCCACAGGCCAGAGUCUUAUUAAGAUGAGUUUUAUAGGCCAAAAUUAAGAGCAGGGUAGGGCCACUCAUUUGUCAGUAACCUGAUGUAACAACGAAUGACUUCAAAACACUUUGCACAAUGCUCUUGAAAUAAUUCUCUCUCUGUUUUAGUUGAAGAUUCCAAUGCAAACCUCUUCCUGAUUCAUCUGAAUGAAAACUCCUUACUUAUUCAGGAUCUGAUUUACAUGGGAUCCCACUCACCAGCUGGCUUAUCCUUAAGUAACCCUAAGUAAUGUGGGAGUCCCUAAGUAAAAUAGGAGAGAUAGGUGAAUGAGCAAUAUAGAAGAACACCAAAAGCUUUAAUAAGACCUGCUGCUUUCAGGUGGUUUCCAUAUUAUUUUAAACCAAAAGCAGAGGAAGUGAAAAGAAAUAAAAACAUAGGGAGCCUGCAUCCGCACGAAUGGUCUGUCGACCGUAUCUCGUUCAGAAGGGGCAUGGAAGCAGAGGGAGGAGGAGGAAAAGGAGUUGACCUGGCAACUGAGUUGGCACAGGCAACUACAGAAAGUACAGCCCUUGAGGCCCGACCAGAACAGGAGCCUCAGCUGGGAGACCCAGAAACCAAGUCAAAAGAAUCCACCCAUCAACCUAUGCUUAGAGGAAAGGGGGGGUCCCCUGCCCCGACAGAGGUGGAGGAGUGGCUAAACGACACAAGAGCUCGACAUCCAGACCUGGGCAGCUAUAAUUACAUAAUGACAGGGCUGUACAAAGAUCUGUUGGAAGAACAUCAAACUCAGCUAAUUAAAGAACUGGGGCCUAUUAAAAACUUUCUUUCAGAAUGUUUGGGUUUGCUCACCUCCCUGAUUGAACUAAUCAGGAGGAAAGAGGAUUGCCACUUUCACAAAGAAGCCAUCAACAAGCCAAAUGGAAAUAAAACCCAGUCCAACACCAAAGAAAGGAAAACAAGCAGAGCCAAACUAGCCCAAGGAAAAGUACUGGCCACUAGGAAACCUUCCUUAAAGGGAAAGAGCCCAAUGCAUAAGAAGAAGCCGAAGAAUGUGAAAAUGGGUCGAAAGGCUAAGCUGCCCUCUCGGACUGGGAAAGUGAAUUUCUCAAAGUUAUUCAAGAUUCUGGAGAACUCAAGCACAAAGAACUCCAACAAAACAACGCCAAAUAAGAGCCAAAGCCCAAACAUUUUAAAUAUACAUCAGGUGACUAGCCCUCCAAGGCUAGCAAAACAAUCGCUGCCCUCUAGUGGAAAAUUAAAGGAAACUCCAGAUCCAAAGCAAGAAACUCCCCAGAAGGGAGUACAAAAGAGCCAGAACUUAAUUUUAAUUAAACAUAAAUUAGUCCUCCUCCCUCUCUUCAAGCAUGGAGGCCUUUCCACGCUUGCACAACAGAGAAUUUAUUUACUUAAGAAAAUUGACUUAGUCAUCAGAAGCCUUAUACCAGCAGGAAAUAUUGUCAGCGUUAAAUUUCUUCCUUUUGAUAUGGCCCAAAACAGAGUUGUGGUGACCUUUAAGGACUGGUCGGUAACUAAACAAAUCAUGGACAAGAGGGACAGGCUCCAGAGGGCUGGCCUGUUGGUGACCCGCCUUUUUGAAGAGUCCGGCGUUCCACCAUCCCUCUUAGGAACACGUAAGCCGACUAGUCCGCGCACAGAAUUGGAAAUGGCUUCUGAAAACUGCAAACAAGGUCAACCGGAGGCAGUCAAAAUUUCCAAACAGAAGGCUAAGCUCCAAAAACAUUACUCCCUUCCAAUGAACCCAAAAAGAAAUCUUAAAUGAAAAGGAGAUGCUCUUUCUAGCCUCCCUUGAGCAAAUUCAACAGUCCCAGGAUGCGUUAAUAGCUAGGUUACAAACCAAAAAAUCCUUAGUCCGCCAGGGUUUUUCUGCUCCUUUGGAAUUUAAUUUUGCUACUAACACAACAAAGCCCUUAUCCAACGAAGACUGGACGCAGUGCCGGUUCCUGUCCCCGAAGAAGUGGGUUCUCCCACACAACCCUUAACACCUCAAACAACAACACACCAGGUAGACCUUGCCAUGCCGAUGAGUAGGAACGGUUCAAUCUUUGUGGAUGCCUCAGGAUCCUUAGAUGGCAUUCAGGUGGAGGAUUGAAAGACAGAUACAGCGAGGGGACACCACGCCAGUGAAACAAAACUCACUAGGUUAGUACCUACCACAAAGGAUACCAACAGCUCACUCCACCUCUACAAAAACAUUCAUUCCAUCAUCCUAAAGAACAAACGGAGAAGUCUACCUUUGUUCCCCUCACCACCAUAUUUUCACAUCUUAUCGUGGAAUGUGGCGGGCUGGCUGUCUAAGCAGGGCGCUGCUGAUUUUCUGGAUUUUCUCUCAAAAUUCCAGAUUAUUUGUCUACAAGAGACCUGGUGCCUAGACUCUCAUCCCCCUUACUUACAGGGCUAUGCGGCUUUUGCUACCCCUGCGAAAAAACUAAAUAACCGUGGCCGACCUAGCGGCGGUUUGGUCACUUUUAUUCCUAUAGAGCAAGGGUACAGGGUGCGACAACUGCAGUGGAUGAAGAACAACAAUUUUCAGAUUUUACUUAUCUCCAAUAACACAGGAGGAGAUCUUCUAUGUUUCAACGUCUAUAUCCCCCGUGUGUACUUCCUCUCAGACAGUACAAAUCUGGGAAGAUUUGGAGUCAUGCUUGGAGAAGGCCAAAAUAGAAUUCCCUGACUGGAACAUCCUGCUGGCAGGUGACUUUAAUGCCAGGAUAGGCAGCGACAUCAAUUCGUAUAGCUCCAAAACCCAGUUUCUACCAGAGGCAGACUGGCUUAUCCCUUGGAGUUCUGAUGAAAAGGUCUUGAACAAGGCAGGUAUUACAUUACUGGAGAUUGCUUUUAAGCAUAAUCUGUACAACCUGCAUGGUACUUACAUGGACAGGUCAGGAGGUUUCUUCUCUUUUAUCGGCCCUCGUGGUGCAAGUGUGAUUGACCAUAUCCUGGUCUCUCCAACAAUUUUGGAGAGGGUACAGGGUCUCAGCACUUUUAAUAGAAUUGAGAGCGACCAUCUUCCUAGAGCAAUCUCACUAACUCCCCUUGAAUCAGGGGGAUUACAACAUCUACAUUGUGCAGCCCCUCCUCAAGCACCGGCCCCACGCAGGCGUAAAUGGAACAGCGAGCUGGAGCUUAAAAUUAAUCAACACCUGCACUCUCCAGAUCUAUUGGUUCUGAGAGACCAGUGUCCUUUACCUAACUUUGAUCCUUUUUCACUAUAUCAGCGGGUCUCAGAGUCCCUUUUCCCAUUUCUUAUAAACACCAGGCCUCCCAUACAACAUAACAAAUCGGGGCCUGGUUUGACAAAGACUGCCGGAAGCUAAGAUCCCUGCUUAGGAAACAACAAAAUAAGGUAAAACAGGAGAGGACUUUGUCAUCUAUGGUAAAUUUCCACAGAUGGCGCUCUCACUAUAAAUACACCUUAAAACUCAAGAAAUCCCUUUACAGGAAGAAACAAUGGGAGGCACUUGAUAAGGCGAUUAAAUCGCGAGACGAUAGAAAAUUCUGGGCAAUAGUAGCACAGGGAGUCUCAUCCAAAGGAAAAAUUGUAAACAGCAGUAUUCCAUCCGAUGUGUGGUAUCAACACUUUCUCAAGCUAUACACACUCUCAAAUACUGCUAAUUUGAGUCCGCUCCUCCCAUUGAAGAAUGAGCAUCUAGUUAGUUGGGAUCCUGUUACGGAAUCAGAGUGCCUACAGCUAAUUAAAACUUUAAAAAAUGGCAAAGCUCCUGGCGAGGACAUGAUCCCCCCUGAGGUUUUUAAAUUAAAUGCCCAAUGGUGGGCCAUCUUUUUGGCCAAACUUUUUACGGCAAUGAACAACACAUGUAAAAUCCCAGCAAAUUGGAAACUAAGUGUGGUAGUCCCUAUCUAUAAGAAGGGAGACAUUCAAGAUCCAGCAAACUACCGCCCUAUAAGCCUUCUGGACAUCGCAUACAAACUUUAUACCCGGUACCUAUUAAACAAGCUGGUAGAUUGGGCGGACCAUUCUAACCUGUUCAACCAGGAACAGGCAGGAUUUAGAAAGGGCCACAAUACGAUAGGUCACUGUAUGGUACUACAGACCCUGGUAGCUAAAUAUGCAAAAGCGUAUAAGAGCAGACUCUUUGUGGCCUUCGUAGACUUGACAUCUGCCUUCGACUCAAUCUGUAGAGAUAGACUAUGGAAAAAUUAUAUGAAACGGACAUUGACAGACGACUUUUAAAAAUUCUCAGAGAGUUACAUACAGACAUUACAGUCAAAAUCAGAACUGGGCCAUCGGGAACUCUUACGGACCCACUGCCAUUGGGGAAAGGGGUCAAACAGGGAUGCCUGCUAGCCCCAUUUCUUUUCAACUUUUAUAUAAACGACAUUGUCCAGUACAUGGCAAAGUACAAGUCAUCGGCUCCAGCCCUUGAAGGUAAACGCCUGAAUAUUUUGCUAUAUGCCGAUGACAUGGUUUUAAUGGCACUCACCCGAAGAGGCUUACGCAGCAUGCUGGAGGGAUCGCAGCCUACUGUUCCCAUAAUUCACUAAAGAUAAACCAUGAUAAAACAAAAAUUGUGGUGUUUACUAGAGCUCGCCACACCUUUAGAUGGUCUUUAGAUGAACAAGUGAUUGAACAGUGCCCUUUUUUAAAUAUCUGGGUGUUACAUUCCAGGCUACAUCUAGCUGGCUAGCCCACUUUAAGGCUGUAACCAUCCUAACACGAAGAACAAUUGGUGUUUUGCUUAGUUUCUUCCAUACCAGGGGAGGACAAUUGGUGAUCCCGGCAUUAAGAGCUUUCGUUGGGAAAGCUAUUCCCCAGAUGUUAUAUGGGAUAGAACUCUGGGGGUGGAACCAGAGGCUGUUGGAACGGCUUGAAAUUUUGCAAAACUACUAUCUCAAGAAGAUUCUAGGCCUUCCUCAAGGAACCCCAGCAGCCUUCUUGAGGGUGGAGGUUGGUUUACCCUCUGUGUCUGCCAGGGCCCACUUAAGAUUCCUACGAUUUUACAUCAACCUUGCAAACUCUUCAAACACCUUAUUGGCCAAACAAGCCUUCGUAUCUUUUCAAAAGAAUACCACUUGGCGCCAAAACUUAUCUGAGAUCCUGGUUAGAUACACCCUACCGGAGUUUAAUAUCCUCAAACGGUGGAGCCCGGACAAAGUCCGGAAAUGGAUCCUGGAGAGAGACGCUCUGUUAGAUACCACAAAAAUACAGAUCCCAGGGUCCUCCCACUGGCUUCCCCGACUGAAAGCAGUCAAAAUCUGCGCCAACUACUUGGCGAAUAUCACCAAUCCCACUCUUCGGAGAGCCUUUACUAUGGCCCGUUUUCAAACCAUUCCUACGGCCUAUCUGUCAGGCAGAUAUGCAAAAAUCCCAGUAGAGCAGCGGAUAUGUCCUUGUUAUAUGAGAACCAAAGAGGAUCUCAUACAUUACAUGUUGUAUUGUCCCAUCUAUUCGGCCUUCAGGGAUGCGAUGUUACAAACUAUACCUAAAUCAAUAGUCAACUCUGAGGACCAAGUAAAGUUUUUACUGGUAGACGCUGAUCCACGGAUUUCUCACGUGGUAGCGGUCUUUGUGGUGAAGGCUAUGAAAACUAGGGUAUGGUUCCUGGAUGAAAUGGUGAGGUCCCUCCCAUUGCUCUCCUAACCUGUUGCUGAACCUUCUUCCUUGAAUGGUGGGGUUUUCUGGGUAGUUUCCUUGCUGGGACAACAUGGCAUGAAUUUUAGCUUACUUUUAUAAUCUUUUUGGUUUAUCUUUUAAUAAUGUUUUAUGGUAUUUUGUGUAAAGGCAUGGACCUCACAAAUUUAAUAAAUUUGUUGUUGUUGUUGUAUCUUUGGGUGGUUAAAACACCAACCUUUGUUUUCCUAAAGGGAAGAAGCUAAUACAUUAUUGCAUAGCCUUAAUUAUAGCUUGAACAUGGAAGCAUCCACUGUCCUUGUUCCUGUUUGUUUGUUUUUAAAAUUCAACACAUCUCUUUUUCAGGGUGUGAAGACUGGGAAGUUCAAAGCCUUUGACUUGGGGUAGCAAGGAAGAAAAUCUGGCUCACUACAACCAGGGAAAAAUUUAUCAGUAAUUGCUCAUGUCCCUCCCUCUGUUUACAUAAUAGUAAAAAAUGGAAAUGUAUCACAAUAGCUACUGGUGACAAAGACUGCUGUCCAAACUUAAAUGAAUUUUAUAAUCAGGCUAAAUACUAAAUAUUUAGUUGACUAUAGAAACCUCUAUAAUACAGUAAUGGCAAUAGAUGAAACCAUGAACUGAACACACACAAUAGAGCCACAAUGUGUGAGGAACCAUGCAAUAAUCAGAAUAAAAAGAAACAGCAGAUGGGAUUCUCUCAAUGUUCUUCAGUUAGAUUUCCUGGAUAACUGAAAUGCAAAAUGUAUUUUAGCUCACAAGCCUUUUUCGGUGGACUAUUCUUUUAUGUAGCAUCCUUUAUGCAUGAGCUCAGUCUAUCACAAAUUUGUUUUAUUUUUUAAUAUGUGUAAUUAAUAUCCAAAUAAACCAAUGCUUAAACUAAAAAAGACCUUAAUCAGAUCCAACAUACAGGUUUGCAGCAAUUUGUACUCACCUGUCAGAAACAAUGUAUACAACAUAGAUGUCACGGCUAAAAAUUGGCCGCUGUUUCUUUAGUGCUUAAAAAGCUGGGUCAGCAUGAGUCAGCGGCCUGCACCGGGUUGUAUAUAUAGAGUGAGAAAUGUUAGUUUGGUGUUGGGUUGGUUGGGUUGGUUAGUGAAAGCUGGUAGUGUUGAGGUGUGUACAGUUGGUCAGUCGCUUUUGCAGAAAGAUUUUAAGAAUAAAAGCAGAAAGUACUCUGCAAAGAUACUCUUCUCGUGGACUCUUUUAUGCCGACAAGGGUCCGAGGACCAGGCUGAGGCAACAAAGGGAGGUCAGAACCUUUUUUUUUUUUACAAACACUGACAGGUUAUGGACCCAUUGUUUCUGAGCGUGUGCAGAGUGCAAAACAACUGACAGCAUCUCAGCAGGGAGCUGGUGAGUCCUGGUGGUGUAUGGAGCCAGUGGCUGUGUGUUGGAGCAGUUGGUGACAAGCUGUAACUGUCUGCAGCAAUGCUGGAGCGGCUAGGAUCUGAGGAUCAGGAAAGCACUCAGCGUCGGCUACUGGAACAGUUUGAAUUGCUAAAGGACCACAGUAGGUGACUCACAGAGCGGCUACACCAGUUGCAGAGCCAGGCGGGACCUGAGGGUCAACAGAGACAACAGCUAGAAGCCAGGGAGUGCCAGCCAGGACCAUCCAGUAGGACUCUAAAGAGAGAGUCAGGAGAUAUUGCUGGAGGCCCCACAGAAGGGGCUCAGCAAGCACCAGCAGAGAUGGCAGAUUUCUAGUCUUCCUUAGUUAUAAAUAUUGGGGGAGGCAUCCCAUUUGAACUUCUCUCAGAGACCAACUAGCUGAGUUGGUUAAUUAGAAUGCAGCAGUUGCUAAGGAGAGAUGGAUUAUGGGACUGUGUUGAAACUGAGGUUUUGAGACGGGACUCUGCUGAGAAAAAACGGCUGGAUGAAAGGGCUCGUGCCCAAAUUAUGCUGUGUUUGAGCAACUCUCAGUUAUUGCAUGUAGCAAAUGCCAGCACAGCGUUUGAGUACUGGAAUUUAUUAAGGGCAAUGCAUGUCAGAGAAACUGCUGGAACUAUAAUUUCUCUGACCAGAAGGCUGUUCAGGACUGUUAUGAAAGAAGGUGAGAGUUUGGCAACUCAUCUUCAAACGCUGAAAUCUCUGUUUCUUCAACCUCAACAGAGAGGUAAGCAUUAUGAGGAGACUGACCAAACCUACAUUAUCCUUUCAAGUUUGCCUGAAAGUUGGUUGCCUGUGAUUAACAGCAUGGAGAGUAUGCAUCCCCGAGAUCUGGCCCUUGAGUAUGUGGUUGGAAGAUUGACCGAAGAAGCAGAAAGAAGGUCAGAUAGACAGGCUGAACUCCAAGGUUUGGACUUGGCUAUGGUGGUGAGGAGGUGCUAUAGAUGCAACCAACCUGGGCAUCUUCAACGUCAAUGCAGGGUGAGGCUUCCAGGAGACGACGUGCAGCAGAGACAGCAAUCAACGCAGAAACGUAAGCAGAAGGGGUUCUCUUCAGGGAAGAAGAACACGCAUUCCUCUCAGUUUGUGCCUGCAUUCUCUCGAGAGGAGAGAAAGAUACCUCAAGGAACAUGGUUGCUGGACUCUGGGAGCAGCAGGAUUUUCUGAAACAGUUGAGAGGACUUUAAGACCCUGGGGAAGCCAGCCGAUGGAAAAGACUCAAUCUAUCUUGCUGAUGGUCGUAGAAGCAAGAUUGAUGGCCAGGGAACAUGUUUCAUGCAGUGCUUGAACACUACUCUACCAGAGACUCUGUUUGUCAGCAGUUUGGACUAUUGUUUACUGUCUGUAAGCUGUUUGAUUAAUGCAGGGUAUAGUGUUAAGUUCACGCAGGAUGGUUGUCUGAUAAAGAAUGGAACUCAGGUAUGUGGCCAUGCAAAGAUGGAAAAUGGGUUAUAUGUAAUGCAGGACUAGCAGGUAAAGCAGCCUAGGUUGUUCAGGAUAAUUUGCCAGUUCAUAAGGGGUGUGUACAUGAACUGCACAGGAAACUGGGUCAUGCAAAUUUUCGUGUGCUUUCAGAGAUGCAAAGGUGUGCAAGAACCUAAAAGUAAAUAGCUGUAACUGUUUCCUAGAUUGCAAUGUAUGCAAAAUGGUCAAAUCUAAGAGGAAGCCUGUGGCUUCUAAAAGUGACAGAGUAUCUAAAGAGGUUUUUGAACUUGUCCAUUGUGAUGUGAUAGGCCCUUUUCCACAGAAGAUUGAAGAGAGCGCCAGAUAUGCUUUUCUGGUAACAGAUGAUAAAUCACGUUUUAGUUGGUUGUUUUUGUUAAAGCAGAAAUCAGAGUGUUUCCCCACAUUCAGAGAAUGGGUUGCCCAAGCUGAAAAGCUCUUCGCUCCGCCUGUUGUGCAGUUGCAAACAGAUAGGGGCAGAGAAUUUCUGAACAAACAAUUUGGGGCAUAGUUGUAAGGGGAUCACUCACUGUUUGACUAAUCCUUAUAGCCCUGCUGAAAAUGGUCUGUGUGAAAGACAUGGGGCUGUAAUACAGUCAGUAAAGGACUGCCUGCUAGUGGAUGCAGGAUUGGGUCACAACCAUGGGCUGUGGGGUGAGGCUUUCCUCACAGCAAACGUUUUGAUUAAUAGAACCUGAUCUAGCUCUAUAAAAGAUAUUCCUUAUCGUGUAUUGUUUGGGAAAGAACCAGAGUGGACAAUGCUCCAUAACUGGGGUUCUUGGGCACAUGUAAAUAACCCCAAAGCUCAGCGCCAGAAAGGGGCGCUAGAGCACAGAGCUUGCAGUUUGUGGGAUACCAGCCCUAUGGCAAAGGGUGGUGUUUCAAUUUACACGCAGGACAUGUGGUUCUGUCAUGAAGCGCAGACUUUGCUGACCAGGACAGAUAAUAAAACAUAUAUUAGUCUUAACACUAAAGACCCAACCUCCCGUCUAUUCCAUAUUUCAAUUUCAUAUUACUUAUUGCCAAUACACACUUUUAUCAUAUUAAACUUAUUCUUAAUAAAUCUAAUUUCUUAUAUCUACCUUGCAGCUAUUACUGAAGUUCCUCGAAUGCUGCAACAGAAUUUAAACUACUAUAUUUAUUUUUCAGAUAUUCUUUGAAAACCUCCCAUUUUGAAACAAAUUCCUCUUUUGAUUUAUUCUUUAUUUUUUUCUGAUAGACCAUCUAAUUUGGCAUAUUCUGUCAGCUUUUGGAUCCAAUCUUGUAUGGAGGGGAUUUCAUUACUCUUCCAUUUUGCUGCGAUCAAAACUCUUGCUGCUGCUCUCGCAUAUAAAAAGAUACCCUUCCUCUUUUGUAGAAUGUCCAAAUCUGUUAUUCCCAGGAGGUAGGCCUCUGUUUUUUUAUUGAAAGAGAUCUUCAGCAUUUUUUGCAGUUCUGCAUGGAUACUCUCCCAGAAUACCUGUAUUUUCCUACAUAUCCACCACAUAUGGUAGAAAGUUCCUGAGUCUCCGCAUCUCCAACAAUUACUUGACACAUUUUUAUACAUUUUUGAAAGUUUCCAUGGUGUUAGAUACCAUCGAUGUUGCAUUUUUUGAAAGUUCUCUCUAAUCAUGUAACAAUUUGUGAAUUUCCAAUUGAUCUUCCAUAAGUUUUCCCAUUGGGCCAUGGUUAUUGAAUGGCCAAAAUUCUGGGACCACCUCACCAUUGCCACUGUUACCUCCUCCUCCUUGACUGUCCAGUCAAGGAGGAGUCGAUAAAUUUUGGAUAGAGUUUUUCUUUUAGAAUUUACAAGAUCAGAUUCGAAUCGGGAAAUUUCUGUUGAGAACCCCUUUUGUUUGUCAGAUUUAAAAUUUUCAAAUAACUGAUGGUAUUGGAACAAGUCUGAGAUGUGUUCUCUUAUUUCCUCAAAGUUUUUAAAUUUUAUUUGGUUAUCUUCAUUUUUUAAAAGUGUUUUAUAUGUUGGCCAGCUUUCCUGAGUAUUUUUCCAUUUUACUGCUAUGGCUUCUAUUGGAGAAGUCCAUCACGGGACCAUAGGCUCCAUCAGGUCUUUAUAUUUUUCCCAUACAGCAAAGAGUGUCUUUCUUAUUAUAUGGUUGGUAAAAUUUUUAUGAAUUUUCGCUUUUCCAUAUAUCAGGUAGGUGUGCCAUCCCCAACGGUUGUCAAAACCUUCCAGGUCCAGGAGGUCCGGAUCCUGCAAUGUGCACCAAUCUUUUAGCCAGGUGAAACAGGCUGCCUCGUAGUAAAGUUUUAGGUCGGGUAGAGAAAAGCUUCCUCUCUCUUUUAUGUCUAUUAAGAUCAGGCAUUUAAUCCUAGGUUUCUUCCCUUCCCACAGGAAUUUGGAAAUUUCUUUUUGCCAUAUCUUGAGACAAUCUGCUUCGCCCAGUAUUGGAAUCAUUUGAAAUAAAAAGAUUAAUUUUGGAAGCACACUCAUCUUUAUAAUGGAAAUCCUACCCAGAAAUGUUAAUUUUAAUUUACUCCAGGUUUCAAAGUUUUUCCUAAUCUCUAACCAAGUUUUGGUGUAAUUAUCCUGAAAUAAGUUUAUGUUCUUGGGGGUGAUCCAAAUACCCAAGUAUUUCGCUUUUGAGGAGAUUUUCAGGCCCAAUAUUUUUUCUAAGUCGUCCUUUUCUUCCAUGGUUACAUUUUUAACAAGCAUUUUUUUUUUUUGUUAUGUUCAGCUUAAAGCCUUCCACUUCUCCAAAUUCUUUAAUCAAUUCCAGCACUCUUUUCAGACUUUCUUUAGGGUUUUCAGUCAUAACAAGUAAAUCGUCUGCAAAAGCUUUAAUUUUGUAUGUUUUGUUUCCCAGAGUGAUGCCUUUAACAAGCUGAUCCUUUCUUAUCUGAUUGUUCAAGACUUCCAUCACCAAGAUAAAUAUCAGUGGUGACAGUGGGCAGCCCUGUCUAGUUCCCUUGUUUAUUUUGCACUCCUCAGUAAUUCUUCCGUUGAUGAUCAAUUUUGCUUAUCAGAUAUCUAAAGGGGACAUUAAAUGUAUGUUUGAAGAUAUCUAGUACACAAGACGAAAAGCUAGAAGUAUUUGUUGAUGUGGACUGCGGAAGCUGUGUAGCUGCCAGAAAAUCUACAAGUGGAAUGGUUAUGAUGUCUGUCAGGACUGGUCGUUGUCCUCUUCAGAUCACCACACAAACGCUUCCUGUUCUUUUAUAACUUUUUAUUGUGUAUUAACAAAAUAAUCUUAUAAACAGUUCUUAACUAUUAUUCCUCAGAGUCACUUAUUUCAGAUACCUUCUGAGCUCUGCUUCUCCGUGACCAGCCACCCUCAAAAUGGCGAAGGCGCCUUUGCCUUCAUUUUCCUGCUCUUUUUUCUAACCUCCUGGCUAGAGCUGGCCUGUAUCUCCCCUCCUCCGAAUCUGAGCUAGAACUUAACCCUUGCCUUUCCUGUGAACAGCCGGUCCCUCCCUGUUGUUCCUCUUGCUCCCUUCUAUUAGAUUCACUGCUCUCCUUCCCCCCUUGGGGAAUGCUUUCUCCCUCUGAUAAACUGAAAACUUCUAACUCUUCCCUGACAAUGUCUGCCAAUUCCAUAAUUGGAUGAAGGUCAAAGAAACAAGGAUUUGUUGCGACCUCAUCCUGUGAGGCAGAAUAUGGGAGCCUGUCACUAGCAUGCAAUGAAAUCAUGUGGUUUAUACAGAUACUAAAAGAUCUAGAUUGUAAAGUAGAUGUUAUGCCUAUGAGGGUUGCCUGCAUUCAGCAUGUAUGUUCUUUCAAUUUUUUCUAUACAUCGAUUAGCUGACUCAGAUGUAAAUGUGAUACUUGCUGGAAUAAUGUUGUUUAAACUGAAAUUUUGUUUGGUUAGUGCUAGCUCCGCUAAAGCACAAAUGAAACUGGUGUGUAUGUGUGUGAUACCUGCAUUUUGCUUUGAGGAUCCUCAGUCACUAGUGUGACUUCCUGCUGUGGAACACUUGUGUAACAUGAAACUCCACAAAACACUUUGUUAGAAAAAGAAUGAUGCGAUAAAGGACAUAAACAGACAAAUUUUGCCUACAACAAUGUCCCUAAAGCUAGUUACAUAAUUUUCCCAUAGCAGUUAGUGAGAUGAAUGAUAUUUGGGUGGAAGGCAAAGUGGAGGAGAAUGGGAACAGUGCGACAUGUGAUGAACAUAGGGCGGAAUGGAAGAUGAUGCCUUCUUACAUCCAUAGGUUCUAUACAUGCCCUUUGAAAAAUGUAGAAAGAAAUGAGCUGAAAUCCAGUAACUCUGCAGUUCUGUCUCAGGAUUCCCCCUCCCCUCCUUGUACAUUUGUCCAGUGGAAAAUAAACAAAACUGGUGGGACAUGGAGGAACACAGAGAUGGGUAUUUCUUGCCAUCAGUCAAUGACAUUGAGCUAGUUUGCAGGUAAUGGUAAGCCAAACCAUGGCUUGGUGUGAAUGUUGGUGUGGGAGGGUUCCUAGAGAGGAGCACAUGGCCUCUAUAUACCUCCCUUUGAUCUCCUACUGAGCUAAGCCAUAGUUUGUCUUUCCCAAGACACUCAAUGAGUUGUAAAUCCAAGAACAAACCUUGGUUCCACAGCUUGUGGUUUGUUUGGAGUGAGGCAGAACAGAACAUACCCGGGAUGUAUAAUUAAUGUUAAGCAAACUAUGGCUUACCUCACAGCAGAGCAGCAACACCGGGACCAGAGAAAGUUCUGUGUCCUCUUUAGCAGGUUGCACAUUCAUUCUGUGUCAUAGUUGAGCUUAGUGUCACAUGUAAGUCAGUUCACUUCUCCAGAAUGCCCAGAGAAUGUGCAAAAUGCAGUUCACUUAUGGACAUGCCCCAAGGCCUGUUGAAAUAUAUUAACUGGGUAAUGUACACAAUUUAUUCUUUAUGGUUGGAUUAUGUUCUCAUUCUUCACAACACCAUGUGAAUCUGCACAAUGGUAAUUUCUUAUGCACAUUAACUGCUCAACUUACAUUCCUCUUAACAUAUAUGUGCUUGUGUGUGUUUGGUUUGAUUGGGAGGUCUUUGCAGAGUUAUAAACAAUGAACUGUUUUUAAAACGGUUAUUUCUCCCUUCUCUUUUAGUCAACACCACCUUUAUGCAAUGUAAAACAGAUGAUUGUUACAACAGCUUUCUGGAGUGGUGGUCAUGAAUGGCUUGCAGACCAAAGGGCAUAUCCCUGCUGCUACCUCAAGUCCCAGACUUAGUUUACCACAAGUAUAUUCCUGAAUGGGAACAUCUGGAUUUCAUUUGGAGCCUUGAUGCCACACAUCACAUGCACAUAGAGAUAAUUGAAUUAAUGCAGAAGUAUCAUUGAGUCUGUGUCAUCUCUGGAGCUCGGAUCCUGAAACAUUCCUUCAAGAAACUAGCACUCUCAGUCUAUGGCGAAGACGAUGACGACUACACACAGGUCCUGCUUUCCAAACACAAUGCAUUCCCAGGAAAUCAUUUGUUAGGCGAGCAUUUGCAUAAUGAACUGAUGAUUUCCAUUAUUUCCUAUGGAAGCAUUUCUAAUCCAUGCUUUCUGCCUCAGACUGCUGCAGCUAAUCAGCAAAAGCCAAACAAAGGAAAAACUGACUUGUCCGAUCUCUGUCCCUCCCUCCUUACUUUUUUCCUGAAAUGGCUGCUACCAACCUGCAAAUCACAAAUAGGUAAAGAACUGGGAAACUCCAGCUGUUUGGAUAUCUGAAUCAGCCAUUUGUGUAGCAAGGUUUGGGUAUUAUUCUUUGUGUUUGGCUAAUUGAGAUUUCAGAUAAUGACCAUUCCAAUAGUGGGUACUUGAAAACAACAACACCAUCACUAUGGAAAGAAGUCCCUGCCAUCUUAAAUACAUAAAAUGUUCUAAGUUGUCUAUGUGUGGUUUAGUAAUCCAUCAGACACUUACAUUUUUACAUUGCUCUUAGGUAUUUAGAUUCAUACAUCUUGGGUGGAAGUAUCGAGACGGUAUUCUCAUCACAGUAGGAAAUGAAGUGCUUUCCACUAAACUUGUAUAGUAAUAUAUAUCUGAAAGUAAAUCUGAUAUCCCCAAACUCUGUUAUGGAGAAUGGGAUGGAGACAAGUUCUUAUUAUAGUGGUACCUCAGGUUAAGCACUUAAUUCGUUCUGGAGGUCUGUACUUAACCUGAAACUGUUCUUAACCUGAAGCACCACUUUAGCUAAUGGGGCCUCCUGCUGCUGCCACGCCGCUGGAGCACGAUUUCUGUUCUCAUCCUGAAGCAAAGUUCUUAAUCUGAAGCACUAUUUCUGGGUUAGCGGAGUCUGUAACCUGAAGCGUAUGUAACCUGAAGCGUAUGUAACCCGAGGUACCACUGUAACUUGAAAGCUAUUUUUAGGAAGCUUUUUAAAACCAAGAUGUUGUGUGAUAGUCAACUUAAGUUUUACUCAGAGUAGUCCCAUUGACAAUAAUGAACACAACCAUAUUGGGGGCCACCCCACUUCCCAUAACAGAGUUAGCAAGACCAGUUUUUCGCAGUGCUCCAAAGCAGUAAACCUGCAUCUUGAAAGCAACAUGGUUUGUCACACUUAUUUAAACACCUUAGGACUAAGCAGAAUUCACUUGGAAAUGAUUUUUUGAAACUUUCAUUUAUGUAAGUCCCUAGUUGCUGGAAUGCAAGCUUUGAGUGUGCAUUAGAAUGCUGUCCUUGGUAGACCAUAGCUCAGUGGUAGAGCACCUGCAUCAUACCCAGGAGGCUUCAUGUUCUACCUGUAGCAGUUCCAAGUAGGCUUUGGAAAGAGCCCUUUCUGAAACCCUGAAUAACUGCUGCAAAUCAGUGUAGGCCAGCAGUGGGGAAGUGAAUCAGGUCAACAGGCUGGAGCCUUAUCUCACACAGCUGUCACUCUCCUGGUGUCACAAUGAUGUCAGGUGAUUCAUUUUUGCCUGUGUGUCCAAAGCUCUGUGUGUGACACUAUGCCAGGGGUCAGCAAACUUUUUCAGCAGGGGGGGCGGUCCACUGUCCCUCAGACCUUGUGGGGGGCCAGACUAUAUAUAUAUAUUUUUGGGGGGGGGAGACUCAAGAGUACCACGAGCCCCGGUGGCUGCUUACCUGUGUCUUAUGAGUGGCAGGGGCUGGUGGCGGUGGCGGGGGGACGAUGAGCGGUGUGCAAAAGGGCUCCAGAGAGGGGCUGCUUAAAAUGGCUGCUCUAGAGCUGCUGCUGGCGGCACCAACAAAGCCCAGCCCCCUUCCUCCUCUAGGCAGGGCGGGGAGAAGCCAGGAGGAGGGAGGGAGAAGGCGCCACUGCCACCGCCAUGUGAGGGAGAGGGAGGGAAAGGGAAAGAAUGCACACGUUGGCAAUCCAUGCGGUGAUUCCCAGACCAUCCGCGGGCCGGAUCCAGAAGGCAAUUAGGCCUUAGUUUGCCGACCCAUGCACUAUGCAAAUCCUGACAACCAGCUGAGUGUGAGGGCUUCCAAAGAGCUGUGGACAGGGCUCUGCAGGUGUUACUGACUGGCUGAUUGGCAGAGUCUGCAACUACCUUUGGUCUAGUCCUGUCUUUACUUUCCCCACACUUGAGGCAUAUGGCAGGCUUUGCCAGCCCAGCCCGACAGGUCAAAUAGAGAUAAUUGGUAAGUCUUAUUAGGCAUGAAGGCUUGAGACUCCCCACUGCUGAUAUAGACAGUAUGGAGCUAGGUGGACUAAUGUGCUGACUCUUACAAUCCAAAUCUCAGUGAGAAUUCCCUAAGUGCUACCUUGAUAUAUCUGACCCUGUGCACAUCUUGGGGCUUUUACUAUAUUAGAGGACUGGUCUCUAAUUUGAGAUGGUGUGAAUAGUUUUCCUUCAGAUGUUUCCCAGAACUAACUUACGAGAACCAGCUUUCUGUAACUUCACAAAUCUAUACAUGUUUACUUUGCAACUUGUUCUCUGUUCUUUUAAAACAUACCUGUUUUUUCCCUGCAUUGAUAAACUGAGGUGCAGUGUAUAGACCAGCUGACUGCCAAAGAUGCUCUAUCAAUUGUAUUGUACCUAUGCUCUGAUUUUCUCAUUUUUACAACUAUUGCACUAAAAUGAAAUUCACAGCUGGAAAUGGAGAACAUGCAAGUUAGAAUGUUUCAUAAUGCAUAAUUAAAACAACACUUUAAAACCA